AUUGAACGCUGGCGGCAGGCCUAACACAUGCAAGUCGAGCGGAUGAAGGGAGCUUGCUCCUGGAUUCAGCGGCGGACGGGUGAGUAAUGCCUAGGAAUCUGCCUGGUAGUGGGGGAUAACGUCCGGAAACGGGCGCUAAUACCGCAUACGUCCUGAGGGAGAAAGUGGGGGAUCUUCGGACCUCACGCUAUCAGAUGAGCCUAGGUCGGAUUAGCUAGUUGGUGGGGUAAAGGCCUACCAAGGCGACGAUCCGUAACUGGUCUGAGAGGAUGAUCAGUCACACUGGAACUGAGACACGGUCCAGACUCCUACGGGAGGCAGCAGUGGGGAAUAUUGGACAGUGGGCGAAAGCCUGAUCCAGCCAUGCCGCGUGUGUGAAGAAGGUCUUCGGAUUGUAAAGCACUUUAAGUUGGGAGGAAGGGCAGUAAGUUAAUACCUUGCUGUUGACGUUACCAACAGAAUAAGCACCGGCUAACUUCGUG
rnacentral:rRNA from 1 species